ACCCACGCGCAGAAAGCCCACGAGCAGAAAACGAAAACCCAACUGCGAUCCCCUUCCCCUCCCCGAAUUCCCCACCCCGCCAUGCCCGACUCCGCCGAUCCCCUCCCCUCCCAGCCCCCGCCGGGUCCCUCCGCCGCCGCGAGGCCCGAUCCGGACAUGCCGCCGCGGAAGCCCUCCGCCGGCGGCAAGCUCAAGAAGCCCCUCACCGACAAGCAGCGCGCCGCCGCGGAGCAGCGCCUCGCGCACCUCCGCUCGAACCUCCUCCUCCGCUCCCUGGACUCCCCCGCCUUGACCCUCCCGCCGCCCUAUGAGGCCGCGCUGUUCGCCCUCGGCCUCCUCGACUUCGCCCGCCUCGACCUCGCCUCCGACGCCCCGCGCCCCGACCUCGUCGCCCCGCUCGUCGCCUACUACGACCCGGCAUGCAAGCGCAGCUUCGUCCGCGGCAUCCGGGUCUCCGUCUCCCGCCACGACCUCUCCCGGGCGCUCUCCCUCCCGCCGAAGCCCGCGGCCGCGGCGGAGGCCCCGCCCGACGUGGACCCCGCCGCGGUGGCCCCCGCCGUCAUGCAGCUCCUGCAGGAGUACGUCCUGCUCCCGUUCCAGGGCGACGACAUGUGCAUACUGCCUCAGGAGGUGGCCGCCGCAGAGCAGGCGGUCAGGGAGGGGUUGGCGCAUAGGGUUGACUGGGCAGGCCUGAUCUGGGGCCUCGUGGAGAAGGAGAUGCUCGAGUUGCCCAAGAGGGAGGACGGGGUCUGCUACUACGGGCCGCAUCUGCAGAGACUCAUUUGGGCACAGAAGCCAAAGCUGUUCGAGCCGGUGGAGGAAGGGGACAGAGUGGAGCUUGUCCCAGAGGCGUCCGUGGAUGUUGAGAUAGACGAGGAGGAUGAGGAUGCCGAUGCAGAUGUGAAAAACAAGAGCUUGGAGGACACCGAUGCGGAUGUGAAAAACGAGAGCUUGGAGGAGCUGGAGCUGGCAGAUAGGGAUGCGGGUGUGAGGAGCAAGAGCUUGGAGGAGCUGGAGCUGGCCAAUGGGGAUGUGGGUGUGAGCAGCAAGAGCUUGGAGGAUUCGGAAUUGGGUAAUGCUGAUGCGAGUAGCAAGGAUUUGGAUGAGUUGGAGUUGGGGGAUGCCGAUACGACAAACACGAUCUUGGAGGAGUUGGGCUUGAGGGAUGAGGAUGUGAGGAGUAAGUCCAUGGACGAAUUGGAGGCGGUGGAUGAGGACGCAAGGAGCAAGCGCUUGGAUGAAUCUGAGGCAGCGGAUGAGGAUUCAAGGAGGAAGAGCUUGGAUGAAUUGGAGGCAGUGCAUGAGGGUGCGAAAGGUACAAGCUUUGAUGAAUCGGGGAUGGUGGAUGAGCAUCCAAAGGGAAUGAACUUGGAUGGAUUGGGUUUGGGAUUUGUGACUAUUGAAGCGGUGCCUGCUGCACAUGAGGCGAUGUGCACGGAUAAUGAGAAUGCAACAGAGGCGGUGCCAGAGGGAGGUGAUGACGUGGCAGUGGAUGCAGAAGAGGAGGGUGAAGGAUCCUUGGUGGAGACAGUAGUAUUGGUGACAAAGGAGGAAGUGAUGGCAGUUCCAGAGGAGGUGGGGGAUGAGGAGGCAGAGGGGGAAGAGAAGGAUGCAACAGGUUUAAGCUUGGGGAUUAACUCUACCAAUGUUUAUGAUAGUAUGGAUGUGGAAGAAGAUAUGAAUGUUGAAAAUCUGGACGAGGGUGACAGUGGUAAUGAAGAGGCGGAGGAGUUAGAGGAUGAUGCAUUUGAGGAGUGUAAUGGUGGAGAGGAAAUGAAUUGGAGAAUUGGGGAUGGUAAGGGAGACGAGGGAAUGACACAUUGCCUACAGCGCUGUAACACAUUUGGGGGCAUGGAGUUUGAGAAUUUGAAUAAAGGGGAGGCUGAGAUGAGGGAUGAGUUUGAUGAUUUCUCCGGAAGGGGGUCUUUGGAUAGGAUGACAUCAUCAAACCUCCUCCAAGCUAUGAACUCAAUUCCCUCGUCAUACAAUGUGACGGAGAAUGUGCAUGAUCUGUCCUCUGGGGAAUUCUUGGCUAUGGGGGCUGAUGCACAUAAGAAUGGAGUGGAUCUGGGACCGGGGAGCUCAUAUUUAUUUGGAAAUAAUGGUAAGAGGCACAUCGGUGAUACUGACGGGUACGAUGGGAAUAUGCAUGUACAAGAGCAGUUUCCUCAGUGCAAUCAACAAAAGAGGAUGCGACAAAGCAACAGUAGCAACAUAUCACCUGGAUCAGCGGUCUUCAAUGCAAACUUUUUGAUACCUAUACAAAAUUUGGUGGUCGAGGCAAGUAGGCUUUAUGGGCAGAAGGAGCAAGAACUUCAAAGUUUGCAAUUCGAGAAACAACAGUGGGCUAACAUGCUGCAGCAGAAGGAAGCCAUUAUCCAAUCCCUAAAUUCAUCUCGGUUUGAGCAACAGAAUAAGCAUCAAGCGGAGCUUAGACGCUUCGAGCAUGAUCUGAAUGUUAUGGCACAGUUGGUCACUGGAUACAAGAAAGCUUUGAAACAGACCCGGGCCUCUUUUGAUGUGUACAGGAAGAAGUUCCCUUGUAAUAAGCCUCGUUAUGCUGAUGUUCCUGGUGGUGGUGGCCUUGUUCUUAGUGUGAAGGAGUUGGAGAGGAAGCGGUUGGAGGAGGAGCAGCAGAAACUUGCUGCAGCAAAUGAAAUGAUUAGAAAGUUCCAGUAUGAAUGGUUCUUAAAGCUUGAUGAGUGGAUGCUUUGUGUCGAUUCACUGGGGAGAAAAAUGGAAGAACUGUCUAAGGAGAUCAAUCCCCUCAAGGAAAUCAUAAAAGCAAGAUUUGCAACACCGGCUACAGAGGAAUAAGUUCCCUGACAGUCGGAGGUGCCUGGGUGUCACACCACGUCUGCAACAGAGGGGGGCGCAAAGUGUUAUGGACAUGGGAUGCACGAUUUAACAAUAUUAAUAGCCUAAAUCUGCAGUUUGAGAGUUUGUGGACCUAAAUGAUACAGCUUGACAAGUUUGAGGACCUAUGGUGCAUUUUACUCUUAAUUUUUUAUUUUGUGUUUGGUUCAGAUGUGAAGAUGGCUCCCAGCUACUUGCCUUAACCCUCUGCCGGAUAUACACUCAGAUUCAUAGGAUCUUUUGAUGUCAAUGGGCGCACAUCAGCAGUUGUGGCUACCUGGUGGUACAUACUGUUGUAAAAAUCAAUUAUUUCGCAUGGGGGAUGUUUUGGUGAUUAAUGCUUGAUUUAGAUGCCUCUAGGGGUUCUUUAAUCUAUAUCUAAGUGUGCAUUCAUACCCUUGGUUUGCGUUUGAAUUCCCAAUUAUUCAUUAUUGAUGAAUUUAGGUGUUACAGGAUUCUGCUGAUGGCCCAAUGUCAUACCCUAGGAGACAUGCGAAGAGUGAAGCUUAGUGAAAGCACAUUAACCUCUUUGGCUUGAUUGCACCCUAGUGUUAACUUCUGCACUUUUCCAGUGGUUGGAUGCUGCUUGGUUCCGAAUACAAUUCGGGUACCAUACUUGAUGCAAUGGUCUGAAGGGCCUUCGGUGGUAUUGAAGAAUGCCAAACCCUUCCCUAAAUACUAGCAAAACCAUGUGAUAUUUUGCUAUGCCUGAAUUUCUGAAGAUGAUGACAUAUGUUGUUGCACUGAGCUAAAUAAUUCAAAGGUGUCAGCUUGAUGAACCAUGACAUGCAUCCAGUAUGUCUUUAGAAAAAGUAAACAAGAGAAAUGGUCUUCUCAUAUAUCUCCAAACUAAUUUCUUGAAUAUUUUUUCAUUCAUCAGCAAUACUUUCCAUGUUUCAGAAAGGCACCUGGCCAGCUGGUGUUCUCCGAUUCGAAAUUGAUGGUAGUGCAGUCGCUAUGCAACUAUUAAGAUGCAUCUGCACUGAAGUUAUUAUCUUCUCGGGUGGAUUGUGGACACAAUACAUAUAUUGCUGAGCUGUCUAUGAGAAGCAGGAGAGGGAGAGCAGUGCUGUUGCUGGAGAAACUUGUUACACUCGCAUGGAUCAAAGAUCUGCCCACCGGUUGAUG